UGCAACUCGACUCCGUGAAGCUGGAUUCGCUAGUAAUCGCGCAUCAGCCAUGGCGCGGUGAAUACGUUCCCGGGCCUUGUACACACCGCCCGUCACACCAUGAGAGUUGGAAAUACCCGAAGCCUGUGAGCUAACUUAAAGAGGCAGCAGUCGAAGGUAGAGCCAAUGAUUGGGGUGAAGUCGUAACAAGGUACC
rnacentral:rRNA from 1 species